GGGUGCAGCAGGCGCGAAAACUUUGCAAUAAGCGAAAGCUUGACAGGGCUAUCCCGAGUGCCAUCCGCUGAGGAAGGCUUUUACCCAGUCUAGAACGCUGGGGGAAUAAGGAGAGGGCAAGUCUGGUGUCAGCCGCCGCGGUAAUACCAGCUCUCCGAGUGGUGUGGAUGUUUAUUGGGCCUAAAGCAUCCGUAGCUGGCUAGGUUAGUCCCCUGUUAAAUCCACCGAAUUAAUCGUUGGAUUGCGGGGGAUACUGCUUGGCUAGGGGACGAGAGAGGCAGACGGUAUUUCCGGGGUAGGGGUGAAAUCCUAUAAUCCCGGGAAGACCACCAGUGGCGAAGGCUGUCUGCUAGAACGCGCCCGACGGUGAGGGAUGAAAGCUGGGGGAGCGAACCGGAUUAGAUACCCGGGUAGUCCCAGCUGUAAACGAUGCAGACUAGGUGUUUGAACGGCCACGUGCCGUUCUAGUGCCGCAGGGAAGCUGUUAAGUCUGCCGCCUGGGGAGUACGAUCGCAAGAUUGAAACUUAAAGGAAUUGGCGGGGGAGCAC
rnacentral:rRNA from 1 species